rnacentral:rRNA from 1 species
CUCAACGGAAAAAGGCCAACCGAAACUGCAAAAAUUGAGAACAGGAGAGGAGAGCGGAAUUCCUGGAGGAGCGGUGAAAUGCGUAGAUUUCAGGGAGAACACCAAUAGCGUAAGCAGCUCUCUGGCCUGUUUCUGACGCUCAGGUGCGAAAGCGUGGGUAGCGAACGGGAUUAGAUACCCCGGUAGUCCACGCUGUAAACGUUGGACACUAGGAGCUGGGUAAUAAACUCAGUUCCGCAGCUAACGCAUUAAGUGUCCCGCCUGGGGAGUACGAUCGCAAGGUUGAAACUCAAAGGAAUUGACGGGGGCCCGCACAAGCGGUGGAGCAUGUGGUUUAAUUCGAUGAUACGCGAAGAACCUCACCUGGGCUUGACAUGCUGCUGACCGCUCUGGAAACAGAGUUUUCCCGUUUUCGGGACAG